rnacentral:lncRNA from 1 species
AAUAGAUUAGAUUAUUACAUUAGAAAUAAUUUAAGGUAAGUAAGUAGCGUGGUAUUGUGAUAGAGGUUUCAAACUCAGGAACUGGAAUUAUAGUCUGGGAAAUUGAUUGAGUUUCAUCCACAGCAGGGGAGGGGCCUCAGGGGAUGUUCUGGAACCUGGGAAGAGCAAGAGUUUUCUAUCAGAGAGAGGCAGUUAGCUCUCUCAAUCCUGAGAGCCUAAGGAGAGGUCUGGUCAAGACUUUGCUCCUGAGAAAAAAACUUACAUCUUCCUCCUAGUGAUUGGAUACCCUUCCCCCCACAGAUUCCCACUUGAAGUUGGGAGUGUUAGAGAAUACACCAAGCAGCUGACAAGAUUACCUCUCAGCUCCUGGUGCCCGGGGUCUGAAGUGUGCCUGUGGGGCCAAGACCAGGGCCAUCCAAGCCUGAAUCUCUCAGGGGCCCAAGGCUACCAAGAUCUGUGUUCCCCAACUUGAGGAAGGAGAGCUUACUUAUCUUUCAAAGCCAUUUCAAUUUCUCCCUCAUUCAUGAAAUACUCCCUGAUGACUUUGACCCUCUGAUCUCUCUUCCUUUUGAUGUCCCACUUGAGGAAACUUUAUUGUAUUCUGCCGUAAUCACUUGGCAGGAUUGGAUGGUUUUCAUGGUUGAAAGAGGCGAAGGUCAGUGCAGAGGAAGGGUUCCAUCCAUACUUGACCUGUUGCCAGGCCUGGUAACCUACAUCUAUUACAUCUAA